UUGAUACUGCCAUGUUGUGUUGUUGACAGAAUUGAAUGAGUCUCUCGCCCCUGUCAUUUCUAUCACCCAGCCCAAGCUCUACAAUUAGGUCCGACACUUCCUUGGCACAACUUGGCAUUGAAGUCUCCCAUAAUAAAGCAGCCCUCGAGUCCUUUUAUGAGUUUGCCAGCUGUGGGAGCGCAGCGCUGUAUGAUGUUUAUGGUUAUUGGUUUUCCCGAUAGUUGGAUUAGCAGGUUCCAAUCAGGGACAGGAACAACAUUUACAACUGCCCGAUUAAAUUUCUUGUCCAGAAUCACCCCGACUCCAUUGCGGUGUUGUUCCUGACCCUGACCAUCUGACUUCGCUUAAGCCCAACAAUCGGAUGACCAAGACCCGUCUAUUCCGUGGCAUAUGUUUGCAAGUUUUUCCGCUUCAAAUAGCGUUUUCACGUUUUAUGUCGCAAUCUUAAAUUCUGUUUUAAAUGUUUUCAUCCCGGGGAUUAUUUGGACACCGUCCAGGUCUGUCCACCAAGUCCUACCAGGGACUAGGGGCCAUUUUAUUUUGUUGUACUGCCAUUGUGAUUUUUUUCCUGGAAAAUAAACAUCAGAGUGG